GGAGGGCAAGUCUGGUGCCAGCAGCCGCGGUAAUUCCAGCUCCAAUAGCGUAUAUUAAAGUUGUUGCAGUUAAAAAGCUCGUAGUUGAAUUUCGGGAUUAGUACGUUGGUCGUGCCUUCGGUACGUACUGGUGUUACUGAUUCCUACCUUCUGACGAACCAUCAUGUCAUUAAUUUGGUGUGGCGGGGAAUCAGGACUGUUACUUUGAAAAAAUUAGAGUGUUUAAAGCAGGCUCGCGCUUGAAUACAUUAGCAUGGAAUAAUGAAAUAGGACGUUGACCCUAUUUUGUUGGUUUCUAGGAUUGACGUAAUGAUUAAUAGGGAUAGUUGGGGGCAUUAGUAUUCAAUUGUCAGAGGUGAAAUUCUUGGAUUUAUUGAAGACUAACUACUGCGAAAGCAUUUGCCAAGGAUGUUUUCAUUAAUCAAGAACGAAAGUUAGGGGAUCGAAGACGAUCAGAUACCGUCGUAGUCUUAACCAUAAACUAUGCCGACUAGGGAUCGGAUGAUGUUAUUUUUAAUGACUCAUUCGGCGCCUUACGGGAAAC
rnacentral:rRNA from 1 species